UCCAGUCUACCUGUGAUCCAGAACGUUUGCCUUUCUUGCCUGGUUUCCCUUCUUCUGAUCCCCACACUUCAGUCUUCUGAUCUGAGAACCAUCAAAUCAGACAAUACUUGAUCAACAAUCAAAAAGACUAUCACUCCUGGACUGAGUGAUUAUCGAUCAUCUUUAUCAAUAACACUCUUGUUAGGCAAUCAUAUGUACCUACAGGGGAAGGAUGGCCAGCCACACAGGAGGGUGAUUUUCACUACGGAGGAGAAGGAGGCCGUGCUGACCGAGAUGCAUGCUGGCCAUUUCGGAGUGAAACGCAUGAUUGCCAAAAUCAACCUACGCAUCUUCUGACGGGGAAUUGUCAAGGAGGUGGACAGCUGGACAAGUCAGUACCUUGUCUAGCCUGACAGAAGUUGGCACCGAGGUUGAAGCCCAUCAAAGUUGUUUCAUCACGGCACAUGAUCGGGGUGGACCUCAUUGGACCCGUCACUAAAUCCAGGAAUGGCAACAGCUGGUGUCUGACGGCGACCGGUCACUUUACCAAGUGGGUGGAGGCAAUAACCAUUAAGGACGAGACUGGCGAGGCCACCUCCAAGGCGAUGAUGGACAUCUUCAACACCCACGGUUCUCCUGAGGUCAUCUUGAGUAACCGAAGUCAUGAACGCUGGAACAAGGUUUGGUGGAUGGACCAACCAGACUGCCAUGGGCAAGUCUCUUGAUUGGUACCAGGAAGGGUGGGAGAACAACCUGAAGAUCACUGAAACCCCCCCGAUGUGGUGGAAGUUGUGGAACCAGAUCAGAACGCCAUCGAGGAUCACCUUCAGGCACGGGCUGAGAAGGAUGUGGAGGUUUUUAACCAGGUGAGACUGAACAUGGAGAAGACGCAGGAGGAAUAAAAAGGGAGCAACCGGAGCAGAAUCAAGAAGGGAACCAAGUGCUAUGACAUCCGGGCGAAUGUCUUGGUUUGGAAGGAAGGUGAGACCUGGGAAACCUCGCUGCUCUUUUGUUCCUAGCUGGGGUCACCAUCUGUUCAGGGUUAUCUCGGUGGAAGCCAGCAACCUUCCUAUCCACCAGAACCAGUGAGUUCGGAUCAGUCUGAUUCUCUGUCGGAGGGGGACCAGCUUGAGGACCUAGUGGUUCUACCCAACAACUAGACAUGGAUCCACCUGAUGUCCUCCAUUAUCUGUUCUCCAGGACCUAGUGGUUCUACCCAACACCUAGACAUGGAUCCACCUGAUGUCCUCCAUUAUCUGUUCUCCAGGACCUAGUGGUUCUACCCAACAACUAGACAUGGAUCCACCU